GGAGGUAUAGCAUACAAGGGGGUCACCGUACAAACUCCCAAGACGUGGCACACCGUCGCCGGAAAGGGCUUGUGCGGUGUAAUGUGGUUUUGGAUUCUGUACAGAGCAAAGCAAGAUGGCCCUGUAGUCAUGGUCUCGUUGAGCCUUUGAAGAUCAUGGCGAAAAAUGAAUAUCUUGCUUUUUUCAGCUUCGUAUGUCGAAAUAAAGAGAUUUGUGAAAGAAGACGUGAAUUGUUUUUGUACACAAGUUUCUAAGACAUGCUGCUUAUGAAACAAAACCGGUCGCGAGAUUGUUUGCACUUCAUUGAUGUUGUUUUGCACUUCAUUGAUGUUGUUUUGCUGUCUACAAAUGAAUUUGAAAUAAAACCGGUCGCGAGAUUCAUGUUAGA